CAAGUUUCCAAAUUAUAGAUCUAUACAUACAGUGGACUGCACACCAGUAUUAAUUCAAUAGAACUAGACAGUCUUAAGUGUGAUGAUGUAAAAUUGUAAUAUCCCUGCCUUUGGAAUGUCAUUUGUUAAAGUCUAUAUUAUUUUCUUCCCAGGUUCAGUUUCUCUACCAAGAAAUCUCUUAACAAAAGGCAGUAUGGAGGAAAUUCUUUCAUCACAAAAAGCGAUUGAUGAAAUUGUGGAAAAGUUGAGAAAGCAACAACCUGAACAUCUCGAGCCAAUGAAUGAUGGUGAUAUUGAGUAUGUACCUGAAGUUAUUGAGAAUAUCAAUGUUGAUCAUCUCAUCAAGAAAUUGGGAUGUGUAGGUUAGUAAAUAAUACUUCACAAGAAAUGACUCGUGAUUAUCUAAAUAAAU